GACGAACGCUGGCGGCGUGCUUAACACAUGCAAGUCGAGCGGUAAGGCCCUUUCGGGGUACACGAGCGGCGAACGGGUGAGUAACACGUGGGUGACCUGCCCUCAGCUCUGGGAUAAGCCUGGGAAACCGGGUCUAAUACCGGAUAUGACUCCAUGACGCAUGUUGUGGGGUGGAAAGCCUUGUGCGGCUGAGGAUGGGCCCGCGGCCUAUCAGCUUGUUGGUGGGGUGAUGGCCUACCAAGGCGACGACGGGUAGCCGGCCUGAGAGGGCGACCGGCCACACUGGGACUGAGACACGGCCCAGACUCCUACGGGAGGCAGCAGUGGGGAAUCCUGCGCAAUGGGCGAAAGCCUGACGCAGCGACGCCGCGUGAGGGAUGACGGCCU
rnacentral:rRNA from 1 species